UACGUAGGUGACAAGCGUUGUCCGGAUUUACUGGGCGUAAAGAGCGCGCAGGCGGUCGUUCAAGUCGAGUGUGAAAGCCCCGGCUCAACUGGGGAGGGUCACUCGAUACUGAUCGACUCGAAGGCAGGAGAGGGUAGUGGAAUUCCCGGUGUAGCGGUGGAAUGCGCAGAUAUCAGGAAGAACACCAACGGCGAAGGCAGCUCGCUGGGACGGUACUGACGCUGAGACGCGAAAGCGUGGGGAGCGAACAGGG
rnacentral:rRNA from 1 species